rnacentral:rRNA from 1 species
AUGACGACCGGCGCACGGGUGAGUAACACGUAUGUAAUCUACCUUCUACACCGGGAUAGCCCGUCGAAAGACGGAUUAAUACCAGAUAAUACAGGGAUACCGCAUGGUAAAAUUUGUUAAAGAUUUAUCGGUAGAAGAUGAGCAUGCGUUCCAUUAGCCAGUUGGUGAGGUAACGGCUCACCAAAGCAACGAUGGAUAGGGGAACUGAGAGGUUUAUCCCCCACACUGGUACUGAGACACGGACCAG